GGAGUGCUGCCAAGACUGGGGAUCUCGAAGACACGUGCACGGCAUAAAUAUACUUGUAUGUAUAAUAAUACACUUCAUUAUACAAAGAAUGCCAGUUUCAGUUUUUGUGGGUUUUAGCUUGAUCAUUCUUUUCAUUUAUUACUAGUUAAUCACUUCUCUUUGAGUGAUAGAAACAGUUGGUGAUUCUAGAUCAAGUUCAAAAGAGAAGAGAUCAUUUGAGGAAUUGUCAUUUGAAUGAAAAGCAAAAGGGCUUGUUUGAUGGAGACCCUUAGCAAUCUAUAGCCACCUAUUUUACUCAAAUGGAAGGUUUUGAUGCAGGAGGAAUCGGUAUGCUUUAUGUCUUGAGAAUUUUUUGCUCCUUUCAUCACGCUUCUGGUACUCAUGGAUCAAUAUGUUCUCUUAACUUCCUUUUCAAACAUCUUUUUUCCCCAAUUUUAUUAUCAUCAUUGCAAAAAUUACGCUGAUUCAUGGAAAUUUACACAGGUACAGAAAUAAUGAAAGCCAAGAUUGAGAUUGAUACUGACAGGUUCCUAGUGAGUAUUUGACAUUGAGGAACAAGUUUUUGGAAACAAAUAGAGAAUAUAGUCUUUGACCGAGAAGUUUCAUGUUUUGUAAUCAAAUGUUGAUGUACAUUGUUUGAAUGUUAGUUCGGUACGAUAUUUUCUGAGUUGAAAUGUUGGUAGUGUGGAUUUAAUACUUUGUAGUUUUUAUACUAUACUGAUGUAUGUUGGCACUUAUCAUUAUGGUUGAUUAUGCUCAACAUAAUCACUUUUA